rnacentral:rRNA from 1 species
GUAACAAGGUCUCCGUUGGUGAACCAGCGGAGGGAUCAUUACCGAGUUUACAACUCCCAAACCCAUGUGAACAUACCUGUCUUGUUGCUUCGGCGGCGCCCACGGCCCUCACGGGCUUGGGGCCCGCCAGUGGACCCAAACAAAACUCUUUGCAUUUUGAAUACAGUAUUCUGAGUACAUGAUUAAAUAAAAUCAAAACUUUCAACAACGGAUCUCUUGGCUCUGGCAUCGAUGAAGAACGCAGCGAAAUGCGAUAAGUAAUGUGAAUUGCAGAAUCCAGUGAAUCAUCGAAUCUUUGAACGCACAUUGCGCCCGCCAGUAUUCUGGCGGGCAUGCCUGUUCGAGCGUCAUUUCAACCCUCAAGCUCUGCUUGGCGUUGGGGAUCGGCAGCCCGGCUUCGUGCCGCGCCGUCCCCCAAAUACAGUGGCGGUCACGCUGCAGCUUCCUUUGCGUAGUAGCACACCUCGCACCGGAGAGCAGCGCGGCCACGCCGUAAAACCCCCGACUUCUUGUUUUUGACCUCGAAUCAGGUAGGACUACCCGCUGAACUUAAGCAUAUCAAUAAGCGGAGGAAAAGAAACCAACAGGGAUUGCCCUAGUAACGGCGAGUGAAGCGGCAACAGCUCAAAUUUGAAAUCUGGCCUUCGGGUCCGAGUUGUAAUUUGCAGAGGAUGCUUUUGGUGAGGUGCCUUCCGAGUUCCCUGGAACGGGACGCCAUAGAGGGUGAGAGCCCCGUCUGGUCGGACACCAAUCCUUUUGUAAAGCUCCUUUC